GUGCUCUUCAGGCAGCACAUACACUAAAGCUGGAAUGAUACAGAGACUAGCAUGGCCCCUGCAUGAGAUGACACACGAAUUCAUUGCUGCAUAUUUUU
rnacentral:snRNA from 2 species